AUAUUACCACAGUUUUUCAGAGUCCCGUGGACAAUGACAAAGGAGAGAACCUAU
rnacentral:snoRNA from 1 species